CAUGUCAGGACACAACAUUGCUCCGCUUUUGCUCUUCUGACACAUGAGGAACAGUUUUUCUCCCCUCCAGAAGAGGCAGCGUUCAAGGCACCAUCUGAGAGACAGAGACUGGGCCCUCACGGGACAGAAACCUCCUGGCACCUUUAUCUUGGGCCUCCCAGCCUUUAAAACUGUGAGCAAUAGAAGCAAAGAAGUGUGGCAGCCAGCUGACUGACAGAAAUCCACAACCUGGCAGCCAGCCCCAGCCUGGAAAACAAAAGCGUCUUUGGUUCACCUGUCAAGACUGUGCUCAUUCCUCGGGCCUCUUCCCAUGGAGCUCAUCUGAUUCCUUCAGCCAGGUGUGAUGAAGCAGCAAGUGCUGACAUCAUCACGGAGGGUGAGCGGCUGGCUGGCUGGGAAGCCGCCAGGGGAAACUGGCAUAAGAUGCUGCUCUCAGCAGUGGCUGCAGCAGCCUGGGAGACGUCGGAUUUCUCUCCUUCUAAACGGGCAGUUAGGAAAAGGAAAGAGUUAGGAUCAGGUCCCUGGGAGGGUGAGGAAAAUAUCUCCACCUACCUCUUGUCCCUGCUCCUUCCUUGCAUGAUGUCCUUCCAAGAAAUAAAGCAACCUUUCAAAGCUAUGGAGAAACAUGAGCCAGACUGAACUUCAACAGGCAAAAUCUUUCAUUGUGAUUAUUUAGUUAUUCUCUGCCACCUUCUCUAACCAGCAAGUUUACUAUUAGCAUUUUUUUAGAGCAGUGGUUCUCAAAGUGUAGUUCCUGGAACAGGCAUCACCUGGGAAUUUCUUAGAAAUGGAAAUUCUCGGGCCUGACCCCAACCCUCUUGAGUCAGUAGCUCUGGAGGUGAGGCUGAGCAAUUUGGUUUUACAAGCCCUCCAGGUGAUGCUAAUGUAUUUUAAAGUUUGCAAUCCCCUGUCAGAAAGGAGCAAAAUUCAUUGCCGGUCCCAGGCUUCACAGGUGAUUUCAGCUCCAGCAGAGAAUUCACACCUGGCAAAUGCAUUCCUUCCAUUUAGCCUUCCUCACUGAUAUUGUCUUGGCACCACUACUCCUCUCCCAAAAAUAUUAUUUACUGACUUCAAGCUUUUCAAAAUUUGCAAUUUAAACUUCUCCUCUGAGUGUGAAUGUUAUAUUAGCAUAGACUUCUCAUAGAAUGCAAAUGUCCUUAGUUGGAUGUAUUUCAAAGCUGAAAACCCUCACACCUGUCAUCCCAUUAGUGAAUGUAUUUUAACCUGAUACACACAAUCCUAUAUGAACCCAUUCAGCAGUUUUUAAAACAAAAUGGUUACUUGUUUGAAAAUGAUAGUAUGAAGAGGGUGGUAACAAGGGAA
rnacentral:lncRNA from 1 species